GAAAUAUAGAGUAUAAAAGGAAAGGAAACUGAAGCAUUUACAACUAUAGAAAUAGAUUUGGGCCAGUCAGGUGGUGCUUCAAAUGGGGAGUGUUAAAUUCAUUUCUUAGUCAACUCAAGCAGGAGCUGUGAAGGUGGGUAACACCAUUAAAGCACUAUUUGAGGAUGUUAAUCUCAUGGUUAAACAAAAACAAAAACAAAGGGCCAAACAAAAGGAUCAACGUGGAAACAGAGGCAGAGAACAAAGUAAUCAUCCAAAUGAAACAGCAGACCCAGACAGGGCAGGUGCAGCCAUGCACGUUGAUGGGCUUGCCAAGGGCAAGCUUGUGCAGCAGUAGCUGUUAACAAGGUAUAUGAAGAUCACCUGUCGAGUUUGUUAACCAUAUAGAUUCCAGGAUCUGACUCCCAGAGAAUCUAAUUCAGAAGCUGCCUGGAGGGGCAAUGAGACUGAACUUUUAAAAAGUAGUCACCGUGAUUCUAAGGCCAAUUUUGAGAAAUAUUAAUGGAGUAAAUAAAGAAAGCUAAUGGCAGAACCUUGAGGAAAAAACUGUUUUUAAUGAGAUGAGAAGGAAGAGGAGACAGCAAAGGAAAUAAGGAAUGACAUGAAGUAAGAGGAAGGAAAAGAAGCAUGCAGUAAGAAUUUCAAGAGGAGGUUUUGGCAAACGCUACAAACUAUCAAUGAAAUGAAUAUGGACAGGAAACAGAAUAACACCAAAAACUGUCUGUAAAGGAUCAAUGUUCAAUGGAGCUUGGAUUUGUCAUGGGUCUCUGGUGACAAACAUUGGUCAUAUUGGCUUGUCACUUACUACUUUUUAUGGAAGAAGCUGGAAAAGCCACACUGAUAAGGAUUGAGCUCCUGAGCAGCCAGAAGUCCCUCAGGGCAGCACACACGCCUGAAAGGGAUUGUGCAUGGUGGAUUCUGACAGCACCCCAUAUAGGUGAACUCUCUGCUAAUUUCUCAUUGGUUGCAAUGAAGUGUCUGUUGCUAAUAACUAUGCUUAAUUUAUUAAGUUUCAUGUGACUGUUAUUGAAGAAAAGGAAUACAAAAUGUGUAUAAACUAGUUCUGAUUGGUUUCCAAACAUUGAAAAGUAAUCAUUGUAGAGAUAAGUAUUUUUAUAAUAAUUAAUGUUUAAAAUGC
rnacentral:lncRNA from 10 species